rnacentral:rRNA from 1 species
ACUCAAAUGAAUAGACGGGGACCCGCACAAGCGGUGGAUGAUGCGGUUUAAUUCGAAGCUACGCGAAGAACCUUACCAAGGCUUGACAUCCUAGGAACCUCCGGGAAACCAGAGGGUGCCUUCGGGAGCCUAGUGACAGGUGCUGCAUGGCCGUCGUCAGCUCGUGUCGUGAGAUGUUGGGUUAAGUCCCGCAACGAGCGCAACCCUUAUGGUAUGUUGUAUUUUUCAUGCCAGACUGCCCGGGAUAACCGGGAGGAAGGUGGGGAUGACGUCAGGUCAGCAUGGCCCUUACGCCUUGGGCCACACGCGUCAUACAAUGGCCGGUACAAUGCGUUUGCCAACCCGCGAGGGGGAGCUAAUCGCACCAAAACCGGUCCCAGUUCGGAUUGUAGGCUGCAACUCGCCUACAUGAAGUCGGAAUCGCUAGUAACCGUAGGUCAGCAUACUACGGUGAAUACGUUCCCGGGUCUUGUACACACCGCCCGU